CAUGCUUCAGAUAAUGUGAACAAAAUUCUGGUGGGGAAUAAAGCUGAUAUGGAUGAAAGCAAUGGGUUGUGCCCACUUCAAAGGGACAAGCUCUCGCAGACGAAUAUGGGAUAAAGUUCUUUGAAACGAGCGCAAAGACAAACCUGAACGUCGAGCAGGUUUUCUUGUCUAUAGCAAGGGAUAUCAAACAGAGACUUUCAGAGACUGAUUCCAAGCCUGA